CCAGAACACCCUGAUACCAGCACAUUCCCCAGAGAUAACAGGAACAUAUUGACCCACCUAAAGAUAAGUUCAAUGGAGGUCUGCUGUGCCAACUAUCUGCACAGAGCUGGGACAGCACACAGAGAAAACCCACACACAGCCAUCAUCUGGUAACAUCUAUCAACACAUUUCUGAGAACUCAGCCUGCCUGCAAGAGACAGCAGCCAUGUUGUACUCAGAACUGUUACAGUCUGAGAAGGACACACACAGACAGUGCUCUCUCAUGGACAUAUAUUUUUGUUCAUUCUUGUUGCCAUUUCUUUAAUCUAAAACAAAAGCCAUUUUAGAGUGAAGUUUGUGCAUGUAUAUAUGUAUCUCUCUCUCUCAAGCAUAUUUCUCACUCAGUGUUUACAAAUAUAAUAACUCCUAGUACCA